AUCCACCUCAUAAAGUACUUACUGAAUUGACCAAGUACAUACUGUGAACCCUGGGGAUAACACAGUGUAACUGGCUCUUCUGACUUGCAUAGAGCACGUGGUCAUAUUUCUCAUAAUCUGUCAACUAAUGAAAACAACUGCUGGGAUUUAGAAGCUUCUUACUCAAAUCGACUAUGAUAGACUGCUAAAACCAAGUCUCAAUGUUUCUAAUAAAUGUCUGAAGGUAACUGUAAGAUGGUAAUUAAUUAUAGAGAGGCUCUGGCACUAUCGGUAAAAUUCUGAUACUCUGUGAAGUGUAAUCAGACAACAUUUCUUCGUGUUGUUGUGUAAAAUUUAACCCCAUCUUGC
rnacentral:lncRNA from 1 species